ensembl:lncRNA
GCGCAUGAUAAGACGUCUAUUCUGAAGUAGGAAGAGGAGGUGUGUGUGUGUGUGUGUGUGUGUGUGUGUGUGUGUGUGUGUGUGUGUGUGUGAGAUCACAAGGAGCGGGAAAAAUACUUAUAGCUCGUGCUGAGGAAAAGACUGUUCGAACUUGAGAGAGGACAGAGCAAGUGCUAAACCAUCCGUUUGAAUGCUUGCAGUGGAUCCUUUGAAGAGCAGAGCAAAGCAGAGGUCUGGACAAAGCAGAGGCAGAAUUCACAGAGAGUGAGAGAGGGCUUCAGGCUAUCCCUACUCGCGGCUAGCAAAGUUGUUCUCCCCGUCGGGACUACAAGAACACAAUCAGGGACAAAUGUCUGCCAGGGAGCGGGGACACACCUGAAAGAGCAGAGAAGAAGAGGAGACGAGGAGAAGAUGAGAGGACCGCCACCCAGCCCUACACACUAGGAUUAGUCCCAUCCUCUGCCAGGGAGCGGGGACACACCUGAAAGAGAAGAGGAGAAGAGGAGAAGAGGAAAAGAGGAGAGGAGCGCCACCCAGCCCAUCCUCUGCUUUGAUGGAUUAGCGUGUAGGGAAAUUGCCCGAUUAUUGGUAUGAACAUUUUUGAAAGUCAAAGAGAUGUGAUAGGGGGAGAAAAUGGGUGAAAUUGUGUCUGACAAAAAGAGGGAGAAAGUGUUUGUGGUGCUUAUCUUUACCCCCUUCCCCUCCUCUCUCUCUUUUCCCUCCCUCCCUCCCUCCCCCUUUUGGAAAAGAGAUGGGUAAAAAAGACAAACGAGGGCACGGAGAGGAGACAGAGGGAGCCUGGGCCCUCUACAGAGGAGACACAUUGAGUUGCCCUUCAUGAAAUAUUGUUAAUCAUCAUAUUAACAGGGCUGAAUGUGGGGAGAUAAGGAGUGUUUGAGAAGCAGAAUGUCCCAGCGAGAUAUUUAAAUCCUCUUUUAGCUCCUCCUUAUUCAUUCAUUUAGGUGAAUGAAUGUGAAAUGUAGCAGGACCUUUAUAGACGGAGAGACAGGAGCCCAAAAAUGAUGACAUAAUCACCUCCCAUUUAAUUGCUUGAUUAGUCAAUCUUAUGUCUCUUUCACUCUCUCUCUCUCUCUUUCACUCUCUCUCUCUCUCUCUCUCUCUGUCUCUCUAUCACUCUCUCUGUCUAUCACCCUCUCUGUCUCUCUCUCUCUCUCUCUCUCUCUCUUUCACUCUCUCUCUCUGUCUCUCUCUCUCUCUCUCUCUCUCUCUGUCUCUCUAUCACCCUCUCUGUCUCUGUCUCUGUCUCUCUCUCUCUCUUGGAUCCCAGUGUCUGUCAACUGUCUCCUUCCCACAAAGCGUCCAUGUCCUGUCAGACAGAUUACCCAUUAUGACAGAGGGGGCUGUAGCAUUUGCAUGGUUUUGAAUUACAUUGAUCUUAUACGUUAUUCUACAAUAUGUGUCGACACAUACCGAAUCUUAUCACUUAAAAUGCAC